UGCCCAACAACUCCUAUCCAUAUCUCCUCGCGGUACCGGGUAACCUUUGGGAAGUUCGGGUAACCAGCCGGAGGAAGCUUUGGUCGUAUGCUGACAGGGAAGG
rnacentral:ribozyme from 1 species